CAUUUAAGUUUAUUUUAACUUAUCCAGCAAAAAAAAUCCUACUGGAAAUUGUGCGUACAAUUUCAGUCCUGGUUCCAUAUGCAUUAAAGAAAGAGAAGAGGAGCAGCAGCUAUGCAUUCUGGCAUACCUGUGCUGUUAACUUCAGUGUAGCCAAAUUUCACUGAGGAAAUGUGAAAUUAUUUCAAAACAAGUGAUUUUACUACUGUUCUUGUGCAAACUCAAAUGCCCGUAAGUAGUAAUGGGAUGGUGGGGGAAAGGAGGGUUGUUCUUACUGCCAAAUUAGUUCAUCGUCAUGCCUUCAUCAUCCUUACUAUUUGGGCACAGAAUUUGCAGUUUCCUCUGAAAAAAAAAGGAGACUUCGAUACCAAAUUGCAUUCUCUACUUGUCCAGAUCUGAUCUUCUAAAGGUAAAGCAUUAGUCCAACUGAAAAUGAGGACAUCUAGAAACACAGUUUGUGUGCGGGAUAAUCCUCAGCCAGAGGAGCCCUGCCUGCUUCCUGGGGCGCUAGUUGUCACUGCAGUGAGGACCUCCUGGUAUUGCUGAUCUUUACAACCAAAUAGUUGACUCAAAUUGUUUAGCACAGAGUUGAAAGCAAAGCAGCAAAUCUGCAUAUAAUGCCUAAUUAUGCGCCUUUAUAUGGAGCAUUAACUAAGAUUCUGAGAACUAUUACAAAGAAACUGAGCUUUUUUCACUUACUAUUAGACUUUGUCAGAAAACUUGUCUCUGGAAUCUUAAUUAUUCAAGCAGUCAUAUGCACUGUGAAAAAAAUCCUACAGAUUAUAGAAAUAGAAAGAAAUGUUUUGCUUUAUAACUGGUAUAUUAAAAUAUGUAGCAACAAGAUUGAUCUUUCCAGCAUAUUGUGUCUGGGGGUGAAGCUGUAUCUUCCGUUUCCAUACUCUAGCAGUUACCCAACGUUUUCAGCCCUAACCUUUUCAAAACUGCUGUUGCAGAGAACAAGCAAUGUUACGUCUGGCACUGAGUUUUCAAGUAUUCAUUCCAUGGCUCUCCUUCACUGCGAUAUAAAUGCUCCUCUCUUCCAUCCACCGAGAUAAACCUUAAUGCACAGCUAAAGAUGGAAGUCCUUUAUCAUAUCUCUUAAGUGCUACUGAAGUGUUUAUACCAGUUAUUACAUAUUUACACAAUUAUUUAUUUUGCUACUACCGUGCCUAAAUGAUCGUGACCUGUGUCAAGUCUUGGAUAGGAAGCACCAGCUCCACUAUUGUUACAGGCAGAACUGUAGAAAGGCGGCUGCAUACUUAGAUCUCAUUUAAUUUGUUUCCCCAGGGGGUUGUAUUAGUAGUGUUUUCAUUAGACGUGUUUUUACAGAUGUCAGCUAUCCAGAUAUGAAGUCUCUGUGGUGAAGGAGCAGUCAGGAGUUUGGCAUUCAGAACAGAAAGAAAAAAGUCAACUUUGAGAGACUAAUUUAUAGAAAAAUAAUUUACUGACUUUCUGAUGUAGAAAUGUACAGUAACCCCAUGGCAGCUCCAACGUGAGUAAUUGACAUCUUGCAAGCAGUUAUUUUCAGUUCUUAACUUUAAGAAAUGCUACAGCCUGUUGUUCCUCAUCACCAAGGACUAAAGUAGUGCUCAUUAACAACGUUUCUGGAGAAGUGGCAUCCCGUACUCCUUUUAUUUCCCCCCAACUGAAAUACUUGUAGUAGUCUGACAUCAUUUUAAACAAUUUAUGUUUUGCUACAGAAAGUUUUGUUCUAACAAUAUACACAGCAAGUGCAUGGUUGGUGCAAGUAUGGUGUUAUGGAACGUUUGACUGAUUUGAUGAGGCAUAACUGCAUCGGCAAAAUAAGGCAUUAACAUUGAAACAGGCUUACUGGUAGCAGGGAGGGUAGGGCACAGCCCUAAUGCUGUUUAAACAGCUACUGUGCAUCGCUCAUAGUUUUAGCUGUACUCAGAGAAAACAGUGAAACAAUUGUUUUCAGAGAAGACUACAGUUCACUGUCAUCAGGAGAUCUGCAGUACAGAUGGGGAGAGACUAUUCAUCAGGGAGCGUGGUGAAGGUAAAAGAAAGACUUACACAUGUGCUGGAAAUUCUUUACUUAGAGGUGAGGCCCUGGAGUGUGGGUGCCAUGUCCCAGAGCAGGGAUGGGGAUCUGGGCGGCCUGAUGGAGACGGAGGUGUUCCUGCACAUGGCAGAGGAGUUGGAACUGGGUGGUUCUUAAGGUCUCUUCCAACCCAAACCCUUCUAUGCCUAGAGCAGCAAAAUUAAAUCCUCAGGUUAUAAGUUGAGCAGGCAAAUUAAGCUAGUAAAUGUUGUAUAGAACUUAGGUUUAAGUGGUAAUGGUAAGCCUUCAGUGUUUUUUUAUUUGUUUAAUAGCUUAGUGUAAGUGAAGGGAUUUUUGGUUUUGUUUCUGGAGAUAGAGUAGAAUUGAACUGGUCUCACAUUAAGAGACAUUAGUUGUACAAGAUCCCAGACUGGUGGUGUUCUCACCUGAGAAGGCCAUUUUUGGCAAUGAGAUUCUAGUGCAGCAGGUGAUGCAGGCGAGGGCUGUAGGGCACUGCAAGCUAUUAUUUGCUUUAUAAUCAGUUACACGUGAAGGUCAGGAGGACGGUUUGUUUCAGGCAUUAAACCGACAUGCAGCUUCCCAUCCAAAUAAGUCAGACAGCUUCAUGGUUUGUUCUUAAAGCUAGCUCUUUAUGCCAAUAAUACUGAUACGUUUUCAUGAAUAUUAGUACCUAUUUUGUGUAAACCAUUGAGUGCACUUGCUUCUUUAGGAAUCAUUCAAGAAACACUGAGAAUCUUUUGUUUAGACCGUGUAACAUUUUUGAUGUUUGUGCAGCAGUUACCGCUUCUGAUGUGUAUGCGUAUGAUAUUUUGUAUGCUCUAGCUUAUUGGCACAUCCCCAUUUUUCUGGUGAUAAUCCAGUGAUUUCACUGCAGAAAUGGAGCUAAUAACCCAACAUAAACAAACUAAGCAGGAUGUCGAGAUCAAGACCAGACCACUGCCAGAAGGAAUUGGUAGGUCUGUCUGCCUCCAUGAGAGGGCACUGCUCUUCAUGGAAAGCCUUGGACACCUUGACAACGUGUCAUAACCUAAACAGAAAUAGUCAAGCUCAGCAAGAGGACAUCUUAAAAGGUGUUAUCUCUGCAUCACAGCAUGAGGGCAAAGCAAUGCCUGUGUUGCAUUACUUCAUGCAACAUGACAAUGUCUUUCCUGAAGCAGUUGUGAGAAAGGGCUCCUACAGGCAGACUGGGGGUUGGCUGUAUAACAGGGCUCUCCUUUUCUCAGCAGCAAAAUGAGAAUAAUGGGGGCAAAGGUUUCCUGUUUAAGUGGUUCACAAACUGCUUUAACCUCAGACUGUGUGUUGAGCUGGAUGCUGUCUUCUUAACGCCAUGAACGUGGUAGUUACUAGCUUCUAACAGGACACUUCUUGAGCAAAUAAUUAGAGAUUAUUUAAAUCGCCUAACUUCUCUUAGAUAAAUUAGUAUCCUAUUUCAUUUUUCUGAAUAGUUAUGGAUUCAUCCAGAGGUUUUCAGGAGAAAAAAUGCAAAAAAGUUUUAAUCCUUAGCUCCUUAUUUCUAUGUGAAGGAAAUUAAGCAAGUCGGGCUGCAUGCAACCUUUCAAGAAAAGCUGUUCAGGGAACAGCUGAAGUUUUGCUGCCCCUGGACAAGGCUGCAUCUGAUGCAAGGCAGUGCUGUCUGCUCCUGCCUCCUUCUCUGUUGGUAAGAGGAAGAGGGUUCCUCAUUGUACUGAUGUUUUGAUGGACAGCUAGCUAGUUAAUGCUUGGCUGUUACAGGUGCUUGGAAAAGAAAAGGUCAGGCUUUGUUUGCAGUACUCCGUAGGUUGAGUAAGUAAGUAAUUGCACGGGUUUUAGUGAAAGCUUUUAUAGGAAAAUCUUUUCCUGACUGAUUAAUAUCUCAAUAUUAAUAAAAGCAAAUUCCUAUUAUCCUAACCAUCAGAACAGAUGCUGCUGGAAAUAAGCCUUGAAGGCACUCACCUCUGCUGCUCAUGGAACCUCUGCCUCUGCAUGUGUAACAACAAGCUCCUGAUUUCUCACUGCAAUCCUAUGGCCCCACGGUGAAAAGAAAAGCAGAUUUCACCAGCAUACCAUGAUUUGUUUAUGAUGAAAGAGGAAACACAUAUUUAUUAGAAAGGUGCUUUUCGUGUGUGCUCAAGUAGUCUUCCACAAAGCCCUGCAGGGGCUGCCUUGUGGCCCUUCCUUGGAGUGGGUUAGGACACUCACAACACCCGCCCCACCGCUCCUGGAAACACCUCACACCACCACAGGGAAGGAUCCUAGCCUUAAUAAACGCCUGUAGAAUAAAUAAAAGAAGUAAAUGGUU